GCGCCGAUGGCCCAGUGGUAACUCUCCCGCCCGCCGUGUGGGCGACCGGGGUUCGAAUCCCGUCAUCCGCGCC